GAGGGCAUAUAGCCCUCGCUUUUCUGAACCGUAAGGUGGUUCAGGAACAAGUGCUGGGCAAGACCGGUGCCAGCCGCCGCGGUAAUACCGGCAGCACGAGUGAUGGCCGAUAUUAUUGGGCCUAAAGCGUCCGUAGCUUGCUGUGUAAGUCCAUUGGGAAAUCGACGCGCUCAACGCGUCGGCGUCCGGUGGAAACUACACGGCUUGGGGCCGAGAGACUCGACGGGUACGUCCGGGGUAGGAGUGAAAUCCUGUAAUCCUGGACGGACCACCAAUGGGGAAACCACGUCGAGAGACCGGACCCGACAGUGAGGGACGAAAGCCAGGGUCUCGAACCGGAUUAGAUACCCGGGUAGUCCUGGCCGUAAACAAUGCUCGCUAGGUAUGUCACGCGCCAUGAGCACGUGAUGUGCCGUAGUGAAGACGAUAAGCGAGCCGCCUGGGAAGUACGUCCGCAAGGAUGAAACUUAAAGGAAUUGGCGGGGGAGCACCACAACCGGAGGAGCCUGCGGUUUAAUUGGACUCAACGCCGGAAAUCUCACCGGUCCCGACAACGGUAACGACGGUCAGUUUGACGAACUUACCCGAGCCGUUGAGAGGAGGUGCAUGGCCGCCGUCAGCUCGUACCGUGAGGCGUCCUGUUAAGUCAGGCAACGAGCGAGACCCACACUUCUAGUUGCCAGCGAUACCCUUGUGGUAGUCGGGUACACUAGGAGGACUGCCAUUGCUAAAAUGGAGGAAGGAAUGGGCAACGGUAGGUCAGUAUGCCCCGAAUGGACCGGGCAACACGCGGGCUACAAUGGCUAUGACAGAGGGAUGCGACGCCGAGAGGUGAAGCUAAUCUCUAAACGUAGUCGUAGUUCGGAUUGCGGGCUGAAACUCGC
rnacentral:rRNA from 1 species